rnacentral:rRNA from 1 species
AGAGUUUGAUUCUGGCUCAGGACGAACGCUGGCGGCGUGCCUAACACAUGCAAGUCGAACGGAGAUAAACGCUGAUGAUUUAGCUUGCUAGAGAAUCUUGUUUAUCUUAGUGGCGGACGGGUGAGUAACGCGUGAGCAACCUGCCUUUCAGAGGGGGAUAACGUCUUGAAAAGGACGCUAAUACCGCAUGACAUUGCGAGAUCACAUGGUUUUGCAAUCAAAGGAGCAAUCCGCUGAAAGAUGGGCUCGCGUCCGAUUAGGUAGUUGGUGAGAUAACAGCCCACCAAGCCGACGAUCGGUAGCCGGACUGAGAGGUUGAACGGCCACAUUGGGACUGAGACACGGCCCAG